rnacentral:lncRNA from 1 species
GCGUCCUUGAACUAAAUAUUCAGCAAUGUUUAUAUAUUAUGCAUCCUGGGUGACUGAUUUUAUGUCAACACGUAAAAAGAUUGAAAAAAUCAUUAAUCCAUGCAGUGGUAACUUGUUUUGCUAAAUCACACAGAGCAAGUGGUUGGACUUAGAUAAUCAGAUAAGUAAUAUAACAUGCCUAAAUUGUACAUUAAUUAUAAGAAGUGUCUUUUGUACUUAUUUUUAUUAUUUUAGUGAUCUUUGUUGUUAUAUGAUUUGACUUUGAUGUAUUGAAGACCCAUUGGUGGCCUAAGGCUGUUUGCUUCUCUUUGGUCGGGUUGUUGUCUCUUUGACACAUUCCCCGUUCCAAUUCUCAUUUUUAUUCUUAUAUUAAAUUUAUGCCUCUGGUGCUCGUAACCACCUUGCUUUGCUGCGUUUAUCCCCCGCAACUAAAUGUUAGGGGGUGGUGCAUAUGGUUUUAUCUGUAUCCGUCCGUCCUUCCAUCCUCCUGUCUCAUUAUGGGUAUAUAGUUAUUCCAGAUAACUCCGCCUACAGUUUGAAUGCUAGGCCGAAGUUUUCAUGCACUUUGCUGGUUGUUUUUAAAAGUAUUAUAUAUUAAAGAUGUGCAAGCAGCAUGUGGUUAGGGUUUAGAUUAUAUAUAUAUAUUGCAUAAGAGGUGCAUAUGCUAUAGCGUUUCCAGAAAACACCUCAUUUGUCCAGUCAAACACAGAUUUUACCUCAAACUAAUUGCAAAAUAAAAUGUUUUAGUUCUAAUCUAUAGCAUUAUGCCCUUUGUAUACACAGAAAAAAAGUCCCAUAAAAUCUAACUUGAGGAAAUUUAAACUCAAAAUCAGCAUUUUUAAUUUCCUAUGGAAAUUAACAGUGAAAGGGGAAAUAACUCUUGCAAAAAUGAGUCUUUUUUGGUCAGUUUUUGGUUGUUUUUCUUGAAAUUUAUGUAAAGUGUGAUACUUUGAUGGGGUUAUAAGUUUGUAGUUGACUAUAUUGUAUAAUCUUCUGCUCAUGAAAUGUACAAAACCGAAGUGUUAUGGGUAGUUUUAUUUUUUUCGUGCGUUUUUCACUAAAGAAAAUGCAAACUUGAAGCUUUAUAACCAUUUUGAAAAAAAUAACGUGAAAAUGUGGUAUUGUUUAUACUUGUAUGUUAAAAUUUUUUCGGCAACUAACUUAUCUAAAGGAACUUUAAACCACAAAAAUAAAAAUACAUGCUUAAUUAUUUUUAUUAAAUUUGAGAUUCUUUACCUUGACAUGUUGAAAAAUUCAAUAAAUGUUCAACUAAUGAGGGUUUGGAUGGGGUUAAAUGAUUAAAGAAUAAUGCCCUUAAAAAUGAAGAUUAGAGAAUAAGGGGCAAAAAAAUGAAGAUUAGAGAAAUGCGUGGUCUAAUUGUUUGAAGAUUAGAGAAAAAAGGGGUCAAUUUUUUGAAGAUUAGAGAAAAAAGGGGUGAAAAUUAAAUGUUUACAUAACAGACCCCCCCCCCCCCCUCUCCAUCCAGACCCUCACUAAUGAAUUACGAAAUGUAGAUUAUAGCUUGAUAAAAUAUAUGAAAACACCUUUAGAGUUGUUUGUUAUACUCUAAAGACCGCUAAAAAAUCAAAAAUCAGUACAUUCUGAUGAAUAGAAGCGUUAAAGUUAUAAUUUUGUAUCCAUUUUAUUGAUAUUUCUGCCUUUUUGCAAGAGUUAUCUCCCUUUUCAAUGCAAAUCUCCAUAGCAAUUUUGAAUGGUGAUUUUCUAAGUCUUCCUCAAGUUAGAUUUUAUGGGACUUUUUCUGUGUUUAUUUGGGGUAUAAUACUAAAGAUUAAAACAUAAAAAUCUUAUGUUGCAAUUACGGGUUAGGGUCAAAUUUAUGCUAGUUUGACUGGACUACAUACAGUUCAAAUGCUAGAAAGUUUUCACUUUGCUGGCUGUUUGUACAUAUUUUGAAGGUGUGCAUGUGGUAUAUUGAAGUUUUUGUUUUUAAGGAUGUCAGAAGCAAAUAUUGAAGCAUUCCUGGCUGAGGAGCCAAGCCCAUUGCUAGUUUACCAAGAUAUCAAAUUACCAUCCUUUUUACCUCUAAGAGGGGAUGGACUUGAGAAGAGAAUGAAAGAAAUUACCGAAUUUAACUUCCUUGAAAGCGACAUACUAAUAUGCGGUUAUCCGAAAUCAGG